GGCGGCAGGCCUAACACAUGCAAGUCGAGCGGUAGCACAAGAGAGCUUGCUCUUUGGGUGACGAGCGGCGGACGGGUGAGUAAUGUCUGGGAAACUGCCUGAUGGCGGGGGAUAACUAGUGGAAACGGUAGCUAAUACCGCAUAACGUCGCAAGACCAAAGUGGGGGACCUUCGGGCCUCACGCCAUCAGAUGUGCCCAGGUAGGAUUAGCUGGUAGGUGGGGUAACGGCUCACCUAGGCGACGAUCCCUAGCUGGUCUGAGAGGAUGACCAGCCACACUGGAACUGAGACACGGUCCAGACUCCUACGGGAGGCAGCAGUGGGGAAUAUUGCACAAUGGGCGCAAGCCUGAUGCAGCCAUGCCGCGUGUGUGAAGAAGGCCUUCGGGUUGUAAAGCACU
rnacentral:rRNA from 1 species